rnacentral:rRNA from 1 species
UCCUACGGGGCGCAGCAGUGGGGAAUUUUGGACAAUGGGCGCAAGCCUGAUCCAGCUAUUCCGCGUGUGGGAUGACGGCCCUCGGGUUGUAAACCACUUUAGUAGAGAACGAAAAGGAGCUAUCGAAUAAAUAGCUCUGCUGACGGUACUCUAAGAAUAAGCAUCGGCUAACUCCGUGCCAGCAGCCGCGGUAAUACGGAGGAUGCGAGCGUUAUCCGGAUUUAUUGGGUUUAAAGGGUGCGCAGGAGGAGGUGCAAGUCAGUGGUUAAAUUGCGGGG